UGCCAGCAGCCGCGGUAAGACGGAGGGUGCAAACGUUGUUCGGAAUCACUGGGCAUAAAGCGCACGAAGGCGGCUCGUUAAGUCCGAUGUGAAAUGCCACGGCUCAACCGUGGAACUGCAUCGGAUACUGGCGAGCUCGAGGAUGGUUGGGGUGAGUGGAACUCCAGGUGGAGCGGUGAAAUGCGUAGAUAUCUGGAGGAACACCGGUGGCGAAAGCGGCUCACUGGACCAUCACUGACGCUGAGGUGCGAAAGCUAGGGUAGCGAACGGGAUUAGAUA
rnacentral:rRNA from 1 species